rnacentral:rRNA from 1 species
GUGUCAGCCGCCGCGGUAAUACGUAGGGGGCGAGCGUUGUUCGGAUUUACUGGGCGUAAAGAGCGCGUAGGCGGUUCGAUAAGUCGGAGGUGAAAGCCCUCGGCUCAACCGAGGUCCCGCGUCCGAGACUGUCGAACUUGAGGGCAGGAGAGGAGAGCGGAAUUCCGAGUGUAGCGGUGAAAUGCGUAGAUACUCGGAGGAACACCGGUGGCGAAGGCGGCUCUCUGGACUGCCCCUGACGCUGAGGCGCGAAAGCUAGGGGAGCAAACGGGAUUAGAUACCCCGGUAGUCCUAGCCGUAAACGAUGGGCACUAGGUGUGGGAGGUAUCGACCCCUUCCGUGCCGCAGCUAACGCACUAAGUGCCCCGCCUGGGGAGUACGGCCGCAAGGUUGAA